rnacentral:rRNA from 1 species
UACGUAGGGAGCAAGCGUUGUCCGGAAUCAUUGGGCGUAAAGAGCGCGUAGGCGGCCAGAUAAGUCCGGUGUGAAAGUCACAGGCUCAACCUGUGAAUGCCGCUGGAAACUGUCUGGCUUGAGUCAGGGAGGGGCGAGUGGAAUUCCUGGUGUAGCGGUGAAAUGCGCAGAUAUCGGGAGGAACACCAAUGGCGAAGGCAGCUCGCUGGGACGUGACUGACGCUGAGACGCGAAAGCGUGGGGAGCAAACAGG